CUUUGUUUCAGCAACAUCAGAACCAAAUUUAAUUACCUACAUUUUCCCAGUGAAGUACAUGAAAAUGAAUUUAAAGAAGUACACAUUAAUUGCUGAAAGAUAUUAUGAGAUAUAUGAUGAAACCGUGGGCCUACUGGUUAAGUUCAGCAAUAUAACAAAGAAUAACACUGACAAAGAAUUGUUAAACACCUACAAGCAAUUCAAUGAAGCCCUGGAUGAGA